rnacentral:rRNA from 1 species
UACGUAGGGUGCAAGCGUUAAUCGGAAUUACUGGGCGUAAAGCGCGCGUAGGCGGCUUUGUAAGUUAGAGGUGAAAGCCCGGGGCUCAACCCCGGAACUGCCUUUAAGACUGCAUCGCUUGAAUCCGGGAGAGGUGAGUGGAAUUCCGAGUGUAGAGGUGAAAUUCGUAGAUAUUCGGAAGAACACCAGUGGCGAAGGCGGCUCACUGGACCGGUAUUGACGCUGAGGUGCGAAAGCGUGGGGAGCAAACAGG